AUUGAACGCUGGCGGCAGGCCUAACACAUGCAAGUCGAGCGGAUGACGGGAGCUUGCUCCUUGAUUCAGCGGCGGACGGGUGAGUAAUGCCUAGGAAUCUGCCUGGUAGUGGGGGACAACGUUUCGAAAGGAACGCUAAUACCGCAUACGUCCUACGGGAGAAAGCAGGGGACCUUCGGGCCUUGCGCUAUCAGAGGAGCCUAGGUCGGAUUAGCUAGUUGGUGGGGUAAUGGCUCACCAAGGCGACGAUCCGUAACUGGUCUGAGAGGAUGAUCAGUCACACUGGAACUGAGACACGGUCCGGACUCCUACGGGAGGCAGCAGUGGGGAAUAUUGGACAAUGGGCGAAAGCCUGAUCCAGCCAUGCCGCGUGUGUGAAGAAGGUCUUCGGAUUGUAAAGCACUUUAAGUUGGGAGGAAGGGCAGUAAGCUAAUACCUUGCUGUUUUGACGUUACCGACAGAAUAAGCACCGGCUAACUCUGUGCCAGCCGCCGCAGUAA
rnacentral:rRNA from 1 species